GCAUCUGUCGUAGUUUGGUAAUUACAUCUGGCUUCCACCCAGAAUAUACGGGUUCGAUCCCCGUUAGAUGCUCCA
rnacentral:tRNA from 1 species